rnacentral:rRNA from 1 species
CCUACGGGUGGCAGCAGUGGGGAAUAUUGGGCAAUGGAGGCAACUCUGACCCAGCAAUGCCGCGUGAGUGAUGAAGGUAAUUUUAUUGUAAAGCUCUUUUCUUUGGAACGAAUAAAUGACGGUACCAAAGGAAUAAGCCCCGGCUAACUGCGUGCCAGCAGCCGCGGUAAAACGGAGGGGGCAAGCGUUGUUCGGAAUGACUGGGCGUAAAGGGAGUGUAGGUGGUUUGAUAAGUUAGAUGUGUAAUACCCAGGGCUUAACUCGGGUGCUGCAUUUAAAACUGUUAGACUUGAGUACGGGAGAGGUAAGUGGAAUUCCUAGGGUAGCGGUGAAAUGCGUAGAUAUUAGGAGGAACAUCAGAGGCGAAGGCGACUAUCUGGACAGAAACUGACGCUGAGGCACGAAAGCGUGGGGAGCAAACAGGAUUAGAUACCCGAGUAGUC